GCCGGUCGGGGUGUCCCGGGCAGAUGAGGCAUGGACUUGGAUGGGGGCCUGGGCCACAGAAGACAGGGACAAUGAGUGGUCAGGACCAGCUUACCUGAACCCACAACACCCACAUGUGUAAAACCGAGCAGACAUUCGGGCAGCUUGCUGUCCCCAAGGUCACAGGCAGCCAGUUGAGGACAGAAGCUAAUUCUCCAAUGUGGACCCUCCCAUCCUCCUCCACCACACUCACCAAAGGCGGGCUGGAGCUGGGGAUCUCGCCUUGAGAUUAGAUGGAGACAGAGUCCUUCGGACACCAGGGGAAACGUGGAAGGGAAUGUGUUCUCGUUCUCUUUUAUAGCUCUGGGUUUGGGGAAACUCGAUAAUUAGAAUUUUCAUAUUAAUGAUAUCCAAUGACAAACUACAGACCAUCCAGUGUUUUUAAGAAUUUAAGACAGUUCCUAAACUACAUCAUGAAGGGAGUAAAGGAAAGGGGGAAAUGAUAUAUUGAUAUUAUAAUCUCAAAAAAUAAACAACAAAAAAGUACAAAAUUUUAAAAA